GAUGAAGAACGUAGCGAAAUGCGAUAAGUAAUGUGAUUUGCAGAAUUCAGUGAAUCAUCGAAUCUUUGAACGCACAUUGCGCCCUCUGGUAUUCCGGGGGGCAUGCCUGUUCGAGCGUCAUUAUAACCACUCAAGCUCUCGCUUGGUAUUGGGGUUCGCGGUUCCGCGGCCCCUAAAAUCAGUGGCGGUGCCUGUCGGCUCUACGCGUAGUAAUACUCCUCGCGAUUGAGUCCGGUAGGUCUACUUGCCAGCAACCCCCAAUUUUUACAGGUUGACCUCGGAUCAGGUAGGGAUACCCGCUGAACUUAAGCAUAUCAAUAAGCGGAGGA
rnacentral:misc_RNA from 1 species